GAGACAAGGAAAUGCUGUCACCGCUGUUAACACGCACGUGGAGGUUGGUUAAAGGUAUAGGAGGAUCUCUUGCAGCUCAGACGGGGCGGAGGAUGUUUCCCGGGGGCUUGAGGGGAGUAGUCAGUAUUAAGUGGCUGGCCCAUAGUAGGUGCCUAUAGGUGGGCUUAGGGCAGGAAGUACCCCCUGGGAAGGGAGACUAGUGGAAUGGGAAAAGAAAAAUGGAAAAUGGAAUUAGGGGCCAGACUCUGAGGCAAGGUGAUGGGGACACAUAGAGAAAAGGGUAAUCUGGUUGUGGGGAGAAAUUAGGGCAUGAGAGUGGGAGAGGGUGAAAUGACUUGUGGACCAUGCCCCUAGUGGGGAGGUGCAGUGGGGCGAGGAAGAGACGGUGAGGUGAGAAGGAAGAUGGCUGAAUGGGAAGGAGGAAGAAGGAAAUUUGGGACCAAGGUAUCCCAGACCAGAGUGGUUUUCCUCUUCUAGUUUUGUUUUUGUUUUGUUUUGUUUGAGACGGAGACUAGCUCUGUCGCUCAGGUUGGAGUGCAGUGGCGUGAUCUCGGCUCACUGCAACCUCCAGCUCCCGGGUUCAAGCAAUUCUCUGCCUCAGCCUCCCGGGUAGCUGGGAUUACAGGCGCCCGCCACCACGCCCGGCUAAGUUUUGUAUUUUUAGUAGAGACGGGGUUUCAUCAUGUUGGCCAGGCUAGUCUCAAACUCCUGAUCUCAAGUGAUCCACCCGCCUCGGCCUCCCAAAGUGCUGGGAUUAUAGGCGUGAGCCACCGCGCCCGCCACCUCUUCUAGUUUUAAACCCCUUCCCUCCAAGCUCAUUUAUUUAAGCAAGGGUCAGAGCAUUUUACUCCCUUUGCUCAUGGUUUCCCCUGCCAUGGUGCACUGGAGUUCAUAGGAGCCAGUGUCCUGGUAGAUAGCAAGGCUGCCAAUGUCCCAUCUCUCCACGGUCUCCCCCAUCUUUGUCAAGCUUCCCUUUUUCCACAUUUUGCCCAUGCUAGGUAGUAGGAGUCUAGCCCCUAGGUCAAUGCAAGCAAUUGCCAACUGAGAGUACACGGAGCAGGUGGCUGUGCAUAGCCUUUCCAGGCUGUGGAUGCAAGGCUGAAAAAUGGGAAACCCACUCGUGCCCAGUCCAAUUCUGAGCUGGCUGGGGCAGCCUUGGGUCGAGACCUCUCUGUAGCCCUGCUUUCCACCAGCAUCAGGAAGGGGAACUGCAAGAGCCAUCUAGGCAGGCACCCAGGACUGUGCCAGGGAAGACUGGGUUUUAGUCCUGUCUCCAUCAACCUCAAGAUAUGGGACCUCAUGGAAGGGAGGGGAGGCAAUGCCGAGGAUGUGCUCCUGAGCAGGUGCCACAAUUCUUCACCUGUAAGGAUUUUGAAUGGAUACAUCAAGAGCAUGGUGUACAUCAGUCCUUACCCUGGACUCAACUGUUUGGACACUGGGCUGGGUUCUGAGUGACUCUUCAGUUAGGAAGUUAAAGCAGAAUCUACUGAAGUAAGCUGCAGACUGCUGGCGCUGGACGUUGCACCAUUUCAGCUUGGUUUCAUUUUCCUCCCCAGCUGGUUCCUGAAAUACUCCUACAGAUCUCAAACCAAUGUUUGCAAGUACCUUCCCUAGUGUCACUCAGAGCUUUAUGGCCACAGGCUGCAGACCUGGGCAACCAAAAGAGAGACUGAUCUCCCUGCCACUACAGAAUUAAUCUCCUGGAAUUAACCAUGAAAAGGAAAAGAGAGGCAUUUCCCACUGAUGUUUGGAAAUGAAAAGUGGUUAAGAAGAGGUAGCAUAGAUACCUCACUGCAAGACUAUGAUCAAAGGCACUUUAGAACCUCAUUAAUUUGGAACCUUAUAUUUAAAAUAUACAAUUUGGACAUAAAAUAUACAAUUUGGACAUAAAUUAUGCUUAACUUUUCCUUCAUACUAUUUAAAGCGAGCCUAAAUGGUGUUCAAAGAUUGCAAAGGGACCCUUAGUCAGAAUAAUUGUUUUAUACCACUUCCGCCAUUUUAAUAGUGCCACUUGCUUUUAACAGUAGUUUACAUCCGGUCACUGAAACUGACACUUAACAACAUAGGUA